rnacentral:tRNA from 1 species
GCCUAGUUAGCUCAGUUGGUAGAGCGCUCGUCUCAUACGCGAGUGGUCACUAGUUCGAACCUAGUACUAGGCA